rnacentral:rRNA from 2 species
UAAAMCGARAWWAAKCGAGAUAGAGCCUUCCCCUUCGGGGGACAAAGUGACAGGUGGUGCAUGGUUGUCGUCAGCUGUGACGKGAGAUGUUGGGUUAAGUCCCGCAACGAGCGCAACCCUUAAGCUUAGUUGCCAUCAUUAAGUUGGGCACUCUAGGUUGACUGCCGGUGACAAACCGGAGGAAGGUGGGGAUGACGUCAAAUCAUCAUGCCCCUUAUGAUUUGGGCUACACACGUGCUACAAUGGACAAUACAAAGGGCAGCUAAACCGCGAGGUCAUGCAAAUCCCAUAAAGUUGUUCUCAGUUCGGAUUGUAGUCUGCAACUCGACUACAUGAAGCUGGAAUCGCUAGUAAUCGUAGAUCAGCAUGCUACGGUGAAUACGUUCCCGGGUCUUGUACACACCGA